AGUGAACGCCGGCGGUAGGCCUAACACAUGCAAGUCGAACGGCAGCACAGUAAGAGCUUGCUCUUACGGGUGGCGAGUGGCGGACGGGUGAGGAAUACAUCGGAAUCUACUUUUUCGUGGGGGAUAACGUAGGGAAACUUACGCUAAUACCGCAUACGACCUACGGGUGAAAGCAGGGGAUCUUCGGACCUUGCGCGAUUGAAUGAGCCGAUGUCGGAUUAGCUAGUUGGCGGGGUAAAGGCCCACCAAGGCGACGAUCCGUAGCUGGUAUGAGAGGAUGAUCAGCCACACUGGAACUGAGACACGGUCCAGACUCCUACGGGACGCAGCAGUGGCGAAUAUCGGACAAUGGGCGAAAGCCUGUGCCAGCCAGACCGCGUGGGUGAAGAAGGCCUUCGGGUUGUAAAGCCCUUUUGUUGGGAAAGAAAAGCAGCAGGUUAAUACCCCGCUGUUCUGACGGUACCCAAAGAAUAAGCACCGGCUGACUUCGU
rnacentral:rRNA from 1 species